rnacentral:rRNA from 1 species
GUUGUAUGGUUAAGUGACUAAGCGUACACGGUGGAUGCCUUGGCAGUUGGAGGCGAUGAAGGACGUAUUAACUUGCGAUAAGCUUAGUCGAGCUAGUAAAAAGCACUUGAGACUAAGAUUUCCGAAUGGGGAAACCCACCUGUUUACAGGUAUCGUUAACUGAAUACAUAGGUUAACGAGGCGAACGCGGAGAACUGAAACAUCUAAGUACCCGUAGGAAAAGAAAUCAACCGAGAUUCCGGAAGUAGCGGCGAGCGAAACCGGAACAGCCCUUAAGCUUAUUUGUGAUUAGUGGAAUGCUCUGGAAAGUGCAGCGACACAGGGUGAUAGCCCCGUACAUGAAAAUCUAUAGUAAGUGAAAUCGAGUAGGUCGGGACACGUGUUAUCUUGACUGAAUAUAGGGGGACCAUCCUCUAAGGCUAAAUACUCCCAACUGACCGAUAGUGAACCAGUACCGUGAGGGAAAGGCGAAAAGAACCCCUGUGAGGGGAGUGAAAUAGAACCUGAAACCGUGUACGUACAAGCAGUAGGAGCAUACUUGUUAUGUGACUGCGUACCUUUUGUAUAAUGGGUCAGCGACUUAUAUUUUGUAGCGAGGUUAACCAAUUAGGGGAGCCGUAGGGAAACCGAGUCUUAACUGGGCGUAUAGUUGCAAGGUAUAGACCCGAAACCCGGUGAUCUAGCCAUGGGCAGGUUGAAGGUUGAGUAACAUCAACUGGAGGACCGAACCCACUAACGUUGAAAAGUUAGGGGAUGACUUGUGGCUAGGAGUGAAAGGCUAAUCAAACCGGGAGAUAGCUGGUUCUCCCCGAAAUCUAUUUAGGUAGAGCCUCGGACGAAUACUUACGGGGGUAGAGCACUGUUAAGGCUAGGGGGUCAUCCCGACUUACCAACCCUUUGCAAACUCCGAAUACCGUAAAGUAAUAUCCGGGAGACACACGGCGGGUGCUAACGUCCGUCGUGAAGAGGGAAACAACCCAGACCGCCAGCUAAGGUCCCAAAGUGUAUGUUAAGUGGGAAACGAUGUGGAAAGGCCCAGACAGCCAGGAGGUUGGCUUAGAAGCAGCCAUCCUUUAAAGAAAGCGUAAUAGCUCACUGGUCGAGUCGGUCUGCGCGGAAGAUGUAACGGGGCUAAACAUACCACCGAAGCUGCGGCUGCAUACUUAUGUAUGCGGGGUAGGGGAGCGUUCUGUAAGCCGUUGAAGGUGAACCGGGAGGUUUGCUGGAGGUAUCAGAAGUGCGAAUGCUGACAUGAGUAACGAUAAUGCGGGUGAAAAACCCGCACGCCGGAAGACCAAGGGUUCCUAUCCCAUGUUAAUCAGGGUAGGGUGAGUCGACCCCUAAGGCGAGGCGGAAACGCGUAGUCGAUGGGAAACGGGUUAAUAUUCCCGUACUCGGCAUGAAUGCGAUGGGGAGACGGAGCAGGCUAGGCAAGCAUGGCGUUGGUUGUCCAUGUGAAAGUAAGUAGGUUGAGAACUUAGGCAAAUCCGGGUUCUUAAGACUGAGAUACGAGACGAGUCACUACGGUGAUGAAGUUGUUGAUGCCAUACUUCCAGGAAAAUCCUCUAAGCUUCAGUUCAUGCUGAAUCGUACCCCAAACCGACACAGGUGGUCAGGUAGAGAAUACUAAGGCGCUUGAGAGAACUC